AGUUUGAUUAUGGCUCCGAUUGAACGCUGGCGGGAUGCUUUACACAUGCAAGUCGAACGGCAACACGGACUUCGGUCUGGUGGCAGAUGGCGAACGGGUGAUAAUGUAUCGGAACGUGCCUAGUAGCGGGGAUAACUACGCGAAAGCGUAGCUAAUACUGCACAUGCGCCCUUCGGGGAAAGCGGGGGAUAUCCGGGCUCCGCACUAUUAGAGCGGCCGAUAUCGGAUUAGCUAGUUGGUGGGGUAACGGCUCACCAAGGCGACGAUCCGUAGCUGGUUUGAGAGGACGACCAGCCACACUGGGACUGAGACACGGCCCAGACUCUACGGGAGGCGGCAGUGAAAUUUUGGACAAUGGAAACCUGAUCCAGCCAUCCGCGUGUGCGAUGACCGAAGGCCUUCGGGUUUGUAAAGCACUUUUGGCGGGAAAAACGGCACGGGAUAAUGCCCCGUGCAACUGACGAUACCUGCAGAAUAAGCACCGGCUAACUACAUUACCCGGCGCCAGCCGCGGUAAUAAGUGCAAGCGUUAAUCGGAAUUACUGGGCAUAAAGCGUGCGCAGGCAGUUCGGAAAAAGAUGUAAAUCCCAGAGCUUAACUUUGGAACUGCAUUUUUAACUACCGAGCUAGAGUGUGCUCAGAGGGAGGUGGAAUUCCGCGUGUAGCAGUGAAAUGCGUAGAUAUGCGGAGGAACACCGAUGGCAGAGAGCAAACUUUCUGGGAUGGCACUGACGCUCAUGCGGCAGCCGGGAGCAAACAGGAUUAGAUACCUGGUGGUCCCACGCCCUAAACGAUGUCUUUAGCUGUUGGGGCCUUCGGGCCUUGGUAGCGCAGCUAACGCGUGAAGUUGACCGCCUGGGAAUUACGGUCGCAAGAUUAAAACUCAAAGGAAUUGACGGGGACCGCACAAGCAGUGGAUGAUGUGGAUUAAUUCGAUGCAACGCGAAAACCUUACCUACUGACAUGUCUGGAAUCCCGAAGAGAUUUGGGGUGCUCGCAAGAGAACCGGAACACAAGGUGCUGCAUGGCUGUCGUCAGCUCGUGUCGUAGAGAUGUUGGAGUUAGAUCCGCAACGAGCGCAACCCUUGUCAUUAGUUGCUACGAAAGGGCACUCUAUUAGAACCGCCGGUGACAAAGCCGGAAGGAAGAGUGGGGAUGACACGUCAAGUCCUCGUAGCCCCCUUAUGGGUAGGGCUUCACACGUCAUACAAUGGUCGGGACAAGAGGUCGCCAACCCGCGAGAGGCCAAUCAGAAGCCCGAUCGUAGUCCGGAUCUUAGUCUGCAACUCGACUGCGUGAAGUCCCGGAAUCCUUCUAGCCAAUCGCGGAUCAGCAUGUCGCAGGUGAAUACGUUCCGGGUCUUGUACACACCGCCCGUCCGCACCAUGGGAGUGGGUUUACCAGAAAUGUAGCUAACCGUAAGAGGGCGAUUACCACAGGUAGGAUUAUGACUGGGUGAAGUCGUAACAAGAUA
rnacentral:rRNA from 1 species